rnacentral:rRNA from 1 species
GACGAACCGAGUGAACGUUAUUCGGAAUCAUUGGGCUUAAAGGGCGCGUAGGCGGGCGAUCAAGUCCGGGGUGAAAGCCCCCAGCUCAACUGGGGAAGUGCCUCGGAUACUUGUCGCCUCGAGGGAGAUAGGAGCGUGCGGAACUUCCGGUGGAGCGGUGAAAUGCGUAGAUAUCGGAAGGAACACCGGUGGCGAAAGCGGCGCGCUGGAUCUCUUCUGACGCUGAGGCGCGAAAGCCAGGGGAGCGAACGGG